AGUGAACGCUGGCGGUAGGCCUAACACAUGCAAGUCGAACGGCAGCACAGUAAGAGCUUGCUCUUACGGGUGGCGAGUGGCGGACGGGUGAGGAAUACAUCGGAAUCUACUUUUUCGUGGGGGAUAACGUAGGGAAACUUACGCUAAUACCGCAUACGACCUACGGGUGAAAGCAGGGGAUCUUCGGACCUUGCGCGAUUGAAUGAGCCGAUGUCGGAUUAGCUAGUUGGCGGGGUAAAGGCCCACCAAGGCGACGAUCCGUAGCUGGUCUGAGAGGAUGAUUAGCCACACUGGAACUGAGAACCGGUCCAGGCUCCUACGGGGGGGAGCAGUGGGGAAUAUUGGACAAUGGGCGCAAGCCUGAUCCAGCCAUACCGCGUGGGUGAAGAAGGCCUUCGGGUUGUAAAGCCCUUUUGUUGGGAAAGAAAAGCAGCAGGUUAAUACCCCGCUGUUCUGACGGUACCCAAAGAAUAAGCACCGGCUAACUUCGUG
rnacentral:rRNA from 1 species